rnacentral:rRNA from 1 species
ACUACUACGGGAGGCAGCAGUAAGGAAUAUUGGACAAUGGGCGCAGGCCUGAUCCAGCCAUCCCGCGUGCAGGAUGACGGCCCUACGGGUUGUAAACUGCUUUUAUUUGGGAAGAAACCUAGUUCAUUUGGACUAGCUGACGGUACCAUAUGAAUAAGCACCGGCUAACUCCGUGCCAGCAGCCGCGGUAAUA